CAACAGCCAGUUUUCCUUGUCCUGGAUACAGUACUCUCUCUUAUGCCGAAGUGACUUUGUCCCUGCGAAAAAUGGAUAGCUGCUUACAAGAUACUUUCAGCACUCUUGCCAGGAGAACUUGAAGCUUGGGUCCAUAGGCUUCACUGGAUUAACAAAGGGGUUCAUGGAAUGGAAAAGGCCAAGAACACCUGUGCUAGAGGAACUCAGCAAAUCAGGCAACAUCAUUUCAGGGAGUUGAACUUCUUUAUCCCCUGCGGAAGUAGAGGUGCCCUUGGCUGUGACAAUAUUAUCCAAAAGAUGACAUUACCAACAAAACAGGACUAAUGGCUGAAGACGAAGGCACAAUUUCUGCAAGUCUGAGUUUGCUGGAGGCUGGAGACUGAAGGCGGCCCGGCUGUCCUGGAGUUGGAGGACCGUGUACGUCCCUGGGUAGGAGGGAGGAACGGGGCUUGUUUUGUUGUUGUUGUUUUGUUGCUUGUUGUCAAUUCAAGUCAAGUUUAUUGUCAUUUAACUAUAUACAUGUACACCGCCAAACGAAACAACGUUUCUUUGGACCAGGGUGUAAAGCACAGUGGUACACAUUACACACGUACUGUAUAACACACAAUAACUUAGGAAAGUAAGAAUCAAAUCUACAAAUGAAUUACACAUAGAUAAAGAAAGUAAAGCGCAUAAAUUAAGUAUUGCAGGGUACAAUACGA